UGGGGAAUAUUGGACAAUGGGCGAAAGCCUGAUCCAGCCAUGCCGCGUGAGUGAUGAAGGCCCUCGGGUCGUAAAGCUCUGUGGAGAGGGAAGAAUCCCUGCAGCAUCAGAUCCUACAGGUUGACGGUACCUCUUUAGCAAGCACCGGCUAACUCCGUGCCAGCAGCCGCGGUAAUACGGAGGGUGCAAACGUUGCUCGGAAUCAUUGGGCGUAAAGCGCACGUAGGCGGACUGUUAAGUCGGACGUGAAAUCCCUCAGCUUAACUGAGGAAGUGCAUUCGAAACUGGCAGUCUUGAGUACGGGAGAGGGUCGCGGAAUUCCCGGUGUAGAGGUGAAAUUCGUAGAUAUCGGGAGGAACACCAGUGGCGAAGGCGGCGGCCUGGACCGAUACUGACGCUGAGGUGCGAAAGCGUGGGGAGCAAACAG
rnacentral:rRNA from 1 species